GCCGAUCCUAGUCCUGUUUUUUCGCACAAAAUGUCUCCGAGGCGAUGUUAAGAUUUCGUUUUCUGGGGAAGGACGCUGUCAUAUCGCGAUCGUCCGUGGAGGGGGAGGGGCCGCGCAAUCACGCCCUACGUGAACACACCGGCGCGUGCUCACCGCUAGGGGCACCACAGCAUCGUUUACGAGUCGCACCAUUAAAUGUGAAGGAAUUUUACAUUUGUGGUACAUUAAAGUUGCACACACAUUU